rnacentral:rRNA from 1 species
GACGAACGCUGGCGGCGUGCCUAAUACAUGCAAGUAGAACGCUGAAGGAGGAGCUUGCUUCUCUGGAUGAGUUGCGAACGGGUGAGUAACGCGUAGGUAACCUGCCUGGUAGCGGGGGAUAACUAUUGGAAACGAUAGCUAAUACCGCAUAACAGUAGAUAUUGCAUGAUAUCUGCUUGAAAGGUGCAAUUGCAUCACUACCAGAUGGACCUGCGUUGUAUUAGCUAGUUGGUGAGGUAACGGCUUACCAAGGCGACGAUACAUAGCCGACCUGAGAGGGUGAUCGGCCACACUGGGACUGAGACACGGCCCAGACUCCUACGGGAGGCAGCAGUAGGGAAUCUUCGGCAAUGGACGGAAGUCUGACCGAGCAACGCCGCGUGAGUGAAGAAGGUUUUCGGAUCGUAAAGCUCUGUUGUAAGAGAAGAACGAGUGUGAGAGUGGAAAGUUCACACUGUGACGGUAUCUUACCAGAAAGGGACGGCUAACUACGUGCCAGCAGCCGCGGUAAUACGUANGUCCCGAGCGUUGUCCGGAUUUAUUGGGCGUAGCGAGCGCAGGCGGUUAGAUAGUCUGAAGUUAAGGCUGUGGCUUAACCAUAGUACGCUUUGGAAACUGUUUAACUUGAGUGCAAGAGGGGAGAGUGGAAUUCCAUGUGUAGCGGUGAAAUGCGUAGAUAUAUGGAGGAACACCGGUGGCGAAAGCGGCUCUCUGGCUUGUAACUGACGCUGAGGCUCGAAAGCGUGGGGAGCAAACAGGAUUAGAUACCCUGGUAGUCCACGCCGUAAACGAUGAGUGCUAGGUGUUAGACCCUUUCCGGGGUUUAGUGCCGUAGCUAACGCAUUAAGCACUCCGCCUGGGGAGUACGACCGCAAGGUUGAAACUCAAAGGAAUUGACGGGGGCCCGCACAAGCGGUGGAGCAUGUGGUCUAAUUCGAAGCAACGCGAAGAACCUUACCAGGUCUUGACAUCCCUCUGACCGCUCUAGAGAUAGAGUUUUCCUUCGGGACAGAGGUGACAGGUGGUGCAUGGUUGUCGUCAGCUCGUGUCGUGAGAUGCUGGGUUAAGUCCCGCAACGAGCGCAACCCCUAUUGUUAGUUGCCAUCAUUUAGUUGGGCACUCUAGCGAGACUGCCGGUAAUAAACCGGAGGAAGGUGGGGAUGACGUCAAAUCAUCAUGCCCCUUAUGACCUGGGCUACACACGUGCUACAAUGGCUGGUACAACGAGUCGCAAGUCGGUGACGGCAAGCUAAUCUCUUAAAGCCAGUCUCAGUUCGGAUUGUAGGCUGCAACUCGCCUACAUGAAGUCGGAAUCGCUAGUAAUCGCGGAUCAGCACGCCGCGGUGAAUACGUUCCCGGGCCU